rnacentral:rRNA from 1 species
CCUACGGGAGGCAGCAGUAGGGAAUCUUCCGCAAUGGACGAAAGUCUGACGGAGCAACGCCGCGUGAACGAUGAAGGCCUUCGGGUCGUAAAGUUCUGUUGUCAGGGAAGAACAAGUAUCGGAGUAACUGCCGGUACCUUGACGGUACCUGACCAGAAAGCCACGGCUAACUACGUGCCAGCAGCCGCGGUAAUACGUAGGUGGCAAGCGUUGUCCGGAAUUAUUGGGCGUAAAGCGCGCGCAGGCGGUUCCUUAAGUCUGAUGUGAAAGCCCCCGGCUCAACCGGGGAGGGUCAUUGGAAACUGGGGAACUUGAGUGCAGAAGAGGAGAGCGGAAUUCCACGUGUAGCGGUGAAAUGCGUAGAGAUGUGGAGGAACACCAGUGGCGAAGGCGGCUCUCUGGUCUGUAACUGACGCUGAGGCGCGAAAGCGUGGGGAGCGAACAGGAUUAGAUACCCUGGUAGUCCACGCCGUAAACGAUGAGUGCUAAGUGUUAGAGGGUUUCCGCCCUUUAGUGCUGCAGCUAACGCAUUAAGCACUCCGCCUGGGGAGUACGGCCGCAAGGCUGAAACUCAAAGGGAAUUGACGG